rnacentral:rRNA from 1 species
GACGAACGCUGGCGGCGUGCUUAACACAUGCAAGUCGAACGGAAAGGCCCUGCUUGCAGGGUACUCGAGUGGCGAACGGGUGAGUAACACGUGGGUGAUCUGCCCUGCACUUCGGGAUAAGCCUGGGAAACUGGGUCUAAUACCGGAUAUGACCUUCCAUGUAGUGUGGGGGGUGGAAAGAUUUAUCGGUGUGGGAUGAGCCCGCGGCCUAUCAGCUUGUUGGUGGGGUAAUGGCCUACCAAGGCGUCGACGGGUAGCCGGCCUGAGAGGGUGGACGGCCACAUUGGGACUGAGAUACGGCCCAGACUCCUACGGGAGGCAGCAGUGGGGAAUAUUGCACAAUGGGCGGAAGCCUGAUGCAGCGACGCCGCGUGGGGGAUGACGGCCUUCGGGUUGUAAACCUCUUUCGACAGGGACGAAGCUUCGGUGACGGUACCUGUAGAAGAAGCACCGGCUAACUACGUG